UACGUAGGGUGCAAGCGUUGUCCGGAAUUAUUGGGCGUAAAGAGCUCGUAGGCGGUUUGUCGCGUCUGCUGUGAAAAACCCGAGGCUCAACCCUCGGGCCUGCAGUGGGUUACGGGCAGACUAGAGUGCGGUAGGGGAGAUUGGAAUUCCUGGUGUAGCGGUGGAAUGCGCAGAUAUCAGGAGGAACACCAAUGGCGAAGGCAGAUCUCUGGGCCGUAACUGACGCUGAGGAGCGAAAGCAUGGGGAGCGAACAGG
rnacentral:rRNA from 1 species